rnacentral:rRNA from 1 species
AGGGAAUAGAUACCCGGGUAGUCCACGCCGUAAACUAUGAACACUAGGUGUGGGGGGUAUCGACCCCCUCCGUGCCGAAAGCUAAACGCAGUAAAGUGUUCCGCCUGGGGAGUACGGCCGCAAGGCUAAAACUCAAAGGAAUUGACGGGGGCCCGCACAAGCAGCGGAGCGUGCGGUUUAAUUCGUCGCAAACGCGAAGAACCUUACCAAGGCCUGACAUGCUAGUGGUACUGAUCCGAAAGGUGAGGGACCCUUCGGGGAGCUAGCACAGGUGCUGCAUGGCUGUUGUCAGCUCGUGCCGUGAGGUGUUGGGUUAAGUCCCGCAACGAGCGCGACCCCUGUUGCCAGUUGUAUUCUCUGGCGAGACUGCCCCGUAAAGCGGGGAGGAAGGCGGGGAUGACUUCAAGUCAGCACGGCCCUUACGUCUUGGGCUACUCGCACGCUACAAUGGCCGGUCCAAUAGGUUGCCAAGGAGCGAUCCGGAGCUAAUCCCUAAAGCCGGCCUCAGUUCAGAUUGCAGGCUGAAACCCGCCUGCAUGAAGGCGGAGUUGCUA